ensembl:snRNA U6 U6 spliceosomal RNA
GUGCCCCCAUCAGCAGCACAUGUACUAAAACUGGGACGAAUAAAGGAGAUUAGCCUGGUCCCUGAACAAGGACGACAUGCAAGCUGGAGCAGCAUUCCAGAUUUUA